GGUUGCAUGACUCACGGGGUGGAGGCGGGACGGACCAUGCUGGCGGCACUGGCGAGGUAGCUGGUGAAGGACUUCAAGGCAUCCAGAGUGGAGGAGUUAGGAGCAGCAGUGUGUCUGCUGUCUCAACGCUCCAACAUCCAAGGCUUGGCAGUGUCCUAUCCUGGGCCGUUUCAAGACAUUUGGGUCCCCGAGGUAAAACGGACAUGGAGGCCGUCCCCCCUUCCCUGGCACACAACCCAGGGCCACAGCAAAAAUUAAGUCUUCCCAUCCCACCCACUCGUAAGUCAGGGUGUCGCAAGGUACCACCAGCAAUGUCAUGGCAAUUUGCUAUAUUACGACUGGUCUGGAUUGAGUCUUGAUUAGUGUGUUGAGGUGAGACAUGGACACUGUGAAGUUAUUAUUAUUAUUAUUUGUUUGGUUCACCUUCAUACCUCUGUGUCAAAAUGAUCUUUUGUAAUAGUGUUGUCAAGGUUCUUUUGAGUUGUAUAAUAAUAAUAAUAAUAAUAAUAAUAAUAAUAAUAAUAAUAGGCUAGUUGUGAUGGUAAAGGUAGUCACAUAACAAGUUUUUAUGGACAUUACAACAAGUGUGAAGAUACACCACUCAGUGUGUGGUGUAGGAGUGUAGUUGGGGUGGGGUGUAAGGGAGGUGAGUCAGGUGAGGGGAGGGGAGAUAACAGUGACGGGUCUGUGUGUUUGUUUCUCCUUGUCUUGACCGCUCUAUUUCUUCUUGUUGAAGCUUCUGAUUCUAAUUCUCGUCAAUUUAUGCAUGUAAGGAAAAGUAGAGAGUUAAAGCGUGACACCCUUCCUCCCUUGACUUCCAACCAAGUACUGAGGCAGCUAAUGACAGUUACUGCUGGACCUGACAGCUCAUUUCUACCCGCUACAGAGGAACUGCGAAGGGAAAACCGAGAAACGAGGAGAGCGGGCACCAUUAUAUCGAAAAAAAAAAAAAAAAAGACCGGUACAGCGGUAUAUCGAAAUGGUUCUGAUACCAGUAAUAUCGAUAACACAGGAAAAAAAAAAUGGUGUUUCGGCAUACCUAAUUUCGGUACACAUCCCUAAAUUGUCAAGUAGGAUAUAAUGGCCAGCCCGACACCUGGAAUGAGUGUCAAGAAUUAGUAUUAUAUCAUGCGGGAGGCCAGAUUAUUUCAGCAUAUUUCUGGAUCGGUACUGGAAGAGCUGACGGUUUAACCCUUUAUCGAGAGAGAGAGAGAGAGAGAGAGAGAGAGAGAGAUAGAGAGAGAGAGAGAGAGAGAGAGAGAGAGAGAGAGAGAGAGAGAGAGAGAGAAUAUUUAAGGCCUCUCUAUAACAUACUCGAUUAUAUUACCUAUCACAGUCUAUCUUGUCUUCUACUCAGCCCUGCCUAUCAACCUCAAGAGUCACACGUGGCACUGCACUAACACAGCUGUAGUUAGUAAUGACAACAAUGACAACAACAACAUACAAUAAUGAUGAUAAUGAUGAUAAUUAGACACAGUGCAUAAUAAAUAACCCAUAAUCUCUUCUUCUUCUUCUUCUUCUUCUUCCUCCUCUUCCUCUUCCUCUUCUAGCAUAAUGAGACUCUUUAAUUACAUAUCGUCGCAAUGCAAAAGGAAAUAAAAAAAAAGACAAGAAAAAGACACAAAAAAGAAAAAAAUCCAGCUACAAAUUAAUUACCGAGUCUUUUUUCAAUUUUUUUCCUUUUUUUUUCUUAAGUUUUUAGUUCCCAAUUCAUCUUUUAUUUGCUCGUUACCCGUUCAAUACUGAGAGAGAGAGAGAGAGAGAGAGAGAGAGAGAGAGAGAGAGAGAGAGAGAGAGAGAGAGAGAGAGAGAGAGAGAGAGAAAAUAAGAGAAAAAAAAAAGAAAAAACAGA